UACGUAGGUGGCAAGCGUUGUCCGGAUUUACUGGGCGUAAAGAGCGCGCAGGCGGUCGAGUAGGUCGAAUGUGAAAGCCCCCGGCUUAACUGGGGAGGGUCAUUCGAUACUGUUCGACUUGAAGGCAGGAGAGGGCAGCAGAAUUCCCGGUGUAGUGGUGAAAUGCGUAGAUAUCGGGAGGAAUACCAGUGGCGAAGGCGGCUGCCUGGCCUGUUCUUGACGCUGAGGCGCGAAAGCUGGGGGAGCAAACGGG
rnacentral:rRNA from 1 species